AGUGAACGCUGGCGGUAGGCCUAACACAUGCAAGUCGAACGGCAGCACAGUAAGAGCUUGCUCUUACGGGUGGCGAGUGGCGGACGGGUGAGGAAUACAUCGGAAUCUACUUUUUCGUGGGGGAUAACGUAGGGAAACUUACGCUAAUACCGCAUACGACCUACGGGUGAAAGCAGGGGAUCUUCGGACCUUGCGCGAUUGAAUGAGCCGAUGUCGGAUUAGCUAGUUGGCGGGGUAAAGGCCCACCAAGGCGACGAUCCGUAGCUGGUCUGAGAGGAUGAUCAGCCACACUGGAACUGAGACACGGUCCAGAGUCCUACGGGAGGCAGCAGUGGGGAAUAUUCGACAAUGGGCGCAAGCCUGAUCCAGCCAUACCGCGUGGGUGAAGAAGGCCUUCGGGUUGUAAAGCCCUUUUGUUGGGAAAGAAAAGCAGCAGGUUAAUACCCCGCUGUUCUGACGGUACCCAAAGAAUAAGCACCGGCUAACUUCGUG
rnacentral:rRNA from 1 species